CAUUUUCCAUCGUGUUGCUCACUGGGCCUUGGAUAACCAAGGGUUCCUCUGUAUCAGUGAAGAAGAAACCAGCAAUGGAGUGUCUCAGGGAAACCCGAACUAAUUACCCCACUCAACUUUGGAGCAGGUGUAUAAGCAUAUUCUGCCACCUGGAGUUCACAAGUUACUGUUCGG